rnacentral:hammerhead_ribozyme from 1 species
AUCCAGUUGACGAGUCCCAAAUAGGACGAAACGCGUGUCGUGUAU